GUGAUUUCGUGUAGUUGCUGGAGCAGAAGAAGAUAAAGCCAUUAGAUAAUUAUACCACUACAAAUCAAUUGUAACAAAAUUAUAUUCCACACCCAUUUUGUUAUCAUUUUGUUACAUUCUUUGUUAGCCAAUGAUUGACAAUUUCUCCUCAAUUGUAAACACCACAAAUAGUAAUGAAAUCAACAAAGUAUUUCCCACAAUUCCAUUAGCAAUAUAACAAUUUAGACAUUUGUCAUAAAUAGCUACCUUAUCACACCUCCUGGGUUUAAGACUUAUUAUACACACACCCCCUACUUGGUUUACUCCUAUACAAACCUCCCCUAGUUAUAACAAUUUUGUUAUAAUUGCACCCUAGUUCUUCUUUAUUGUGUUAGUUUUGUUAAACAAAACAUAUCAUAUGCAUUGCCCAUGCUUCUUUAAUGAAAUUGUAGGACACUUAUGUCCUCAUCUUCCUCAGAUAAUUGUUAUGAGGUGAAGUUUUAAACUUCGUGGUACACCUGUGUAAUCAUGUAUAGGUUCAUAAUCCUGAAAAACAUGAAUGAGGGUUUCAACUUUCACGGUAAUUUUGGCAACGGUGGUUUAUGAUAUUAAUUUAUUUAAUUUAUCAUUUAUGUAAACAAAGAAGAAGAUAAACAACUCACAAUUAAUAAAUAAUAAAAUUUUGGCCUCUAAUAAUAAUAGAUUAAACUUUUGUACAUUGAUAUAUACAUAGAUUUUUUAAUCUGUGUAUCCUAUAAUAAUGAUGCACACUUUUUUUUUGUCAAUAGAUGAAUAGAUAAUUCAUUGAAAAAUGCCUUAGGGCACUUGCUCAAGCACACACAUGAUGUUAACAAUAGUACACAAAAUAUCAACUAACGUAGGAUAGACACACCCUCCAAACUAACAAAGUAGGAAUCUUGCACUUACUCAAAAAUAGAAAACAUAUAUAGAAGGCCCAUCCUUUUAUUAUAAAGAAGUACAUAGAACUAUGACCUUUUUUCUUCAUCAUUUUUUUUUUCUUUGUAUUCCUUUUGAAUCUACUUGCGCUUAAUUGCAACUUUAGACAUGACGACCUAAAAUCGACCUUUGGUGGUAGUCUACAAUUACAGUAAAAGGGCUCUAACAAUAUCCAUUGAAAAAGGUAAAAUGUGGUGGGAAAUGAAAGAGGUUGAGAAAAUAAUUACAUAAAUAAACUGAGAAAAUAGAUUGUUAGAGAAGAGAAGGAAACAUAAAUGGUGACCGGACAAGGAUGAGAGAAAGGUAAAUUAAGAUAAAGGGGUGAAUCAAAGAGGAGAUGAGGAGAUAAAGGUUAAAAAAGAAAAGAAGGACAGAAUUAAGAAAAAUCUCUUAUUAUAUAUGAAGCAAGAAAAACAACUUAUAGUGGAGAAAAAUACCUCUCAUAAGAGUAGAAACCCUUCCGUGCACUUGCCAGGCUUCAAUAGAUCCACUUUCAUUAUCAUUGUCAUUACAAAUUUAUAACCUCUAGAGCUGCCAAAACAUAUCCACUCCACGUCAGAUUUUCCUCUUCAUAUGAUAUUUUCUUCCCACAGCACUUCUCAUUUUUUUAUUCACACAUUAUAUUUAAUCAAUUAAUCUAAAUCUUACUAACACAUUGACACAAUAUUUUUCAUUUGUUUUCCCUUUUACGUAAUCAUCCACUAUUUUUAUCUUUGUCAAAUAUCCAUGCAUUCACAUCCUCAUUCAGAAACACAAGACAAAUCCUCCGACUAUAACUAUUUUGCAUAUUAAAUAAUCAAACAAGAAAGUUAUACCUUCAGUUCAUUAUAAUGGUAGAAAAUAAUUUAUUUCAUAAUAAUUUUUAU
rnacentral:lncRNA from 1 species